UUUCCGUAGGUGAACCUGCGGAAGGAUCAUUAUCGAGUUUGAAAGGAGUUGAUGCUGGCCUUCGGAGGCAUGUGCUCGAUCCUGUCAGAUCCAACUCAACACCUGUGCACAUCAGAGGGCGCGAGUGGUCUGUCCCUUGCCAACGGGCCUCGAUUCCUCCGUGGGUCGAGGCUUGGAGGGGUGGAUCCUGGCGACCUCCUUCACAUCACAAACUCUUGAACGUAUCCAGAACGUGUAGCAGCCCUCGUGUGGGGCAGUCUUGAUUACAACUUUCAACAACGGAUCUCUUGGCUCUC
rnacentral:misc_RNA from 1 species